UAAAUUCGCGAGAGAUCGCUUUCCCCGUCGCGUCGCUCUUUUUUACCUCUCUCGACGCCUCCCCCAAAAUUUGGUCGAGCCCCCAUCGAUUCCGAGGCGAUUCGUGGGCCGAUAAGGAGAUCUUUUUGGGGCGGAAUCGCCUCUCGGAAUCGCAACAGGGGCCGAUCUCUCUGUAUCAGUUGGAAUAAUGGAGCACAAGGAAACAAGAUGCCGACAACCUGAAGGCCCAAUUCUCUGCAUCAACAACUGCGGCUUCUUUGGCAGCGCGGCCGCGAUGAACAUGUGCUCCAAGUGCCACAAGGACAUGAUCAUGAAGCAGGAGCAGGCCAUGCUACCGGCAUCCUCCAUCGACACCAUCGUAAAUGGGAGUGGCAGCGGCAAAGGGCCGGUCAUACCUUCCAGUACCAAUGAAACUAAUACUCUCGUGGAGAAAAAGGCCAUUGUGCCCCUGCCUUCUAGUGAUGUGGGAUCGAGUGAGGGUUGUGACGCAAAGGCAAAGGAGAAGCAGGGAGCUAACAGAUGUAACACAUGUAGGAAGAAGGUGGGCCUCACGGGCUAUAACUGCCGGUGCGGGAAUCUCUUCUGUGCUAUGCACCGCUAUUCCGACAAGCAUAACUGCCCAUUCGAUUACCGAAUGGCAGCUAGGAAUGCAAUUGCCAAGGCUAAUCCAGUUGUUAAGGCUGAAAAGCUUGACAAGAUUUAAUGAAACUGGAAAAAGGUUAGAAAGAAUCUUGCUUGUCGCUGAUCUAAGCUUGUUGGUGUCUUUUAUCCUCUUAAGUGGCUCAAUGUAUGGUAUGUGGGAGUAUCCUCGGGGCCUCAUGAUCUCUUUCGCUGAUUGGAAAAAAGCUUUGUGGCUACUCAAUUGAUGCUGCAUGAAGUGCCACUUUAUGACCCUUAGGGACCUUUUGGUGCGACUGGAGCUUUUGGAGAAGUGCUUGCUUGACUAGAGAUAUUCAAAGGAGCACAAACAGCUCUUUCCAAUAGAAGAGCAAGUUUCGCAUUGGAUUUUUAUAUUUUUCAGGCAUAGAAGCUCAUGUUAGACAUUUUCAUGCCAAACUUAUUGGUCGGGUGAAGCUUUGUGCUUCUCUUGCAUAGAAAAGGAGCUCCAGAAGGUUAGCUGAACGGGCUCUUACACUUAGCAACCACAUGAUCUGGAUUGUGUUUCGGAUUGCAUACCGUUAUUUUUUUUGCUUUCACAUAUGUUGUUUACAUUGUGCACAAAUUUGUAGUUGGUAUUGCCACUGGAGUAUCAUUUGCGGUGCAAUGAUUGUUCCAUUCUAUUUGAAA